UACAGAGGUGGCAAGCGUUGUUCGGAAUUACUGGGCGUAAAGGGCGCGUAGGCGGCCAUCUAAGUCAGACGUGAAAUCCCCCGGCUUAACCUGGGAACUGCGUCUGAUACUGGAAGGCUUGAGUAUGGGAGAGGGAUGUAGAAUUCCAGGUGUAGCGGUGAAAUGCGUAGAUAUCAGGAGGAACACCGGUGGCGAAGGCGGAUCUCUGGGCCUUACCUGACGCUCAGGUGCGAAAGCUAGGGGAGCGAACAGG
rnacentral:rRNA from 1 species